CUUGGGGUCAUCCGUUCCAUUUCCUCCUUCUCUCCAUUCUUUUGCUCAGGAAGUCGCUCACCUUUAGGAAUUGUCCAGAAAGACGAUAGUAAUAGCAAAGAGAGAGAAACAGACGCAAUGAGGCUUGGUCGUUUUUUUCGAGGUCUCACAGCCAGGAUAUGAAGACCUGCAAAUUGGUUGCCUCCAAAGACCACAGUUUUUGAAACCAGACUGGAAUGCUUCUGGAGAACCCUGGAGCCAGGCUGGCAUGUUCCAAACCCUUCCUGGCCACUUCUUGGCUGUAUCGCUUCGCAUCAGGGGUUUCCCUCUCUGAGCCUCACCUGUCUAUUCUGGAAAAUGGAUGUCAGAUAGCAUCUACUCACAGAGUUAAGAGGAUUAACUGAGCUCUGGGGUCUAGUAUGUGAAAUAUAGUACAUGAUUACUCUAAGUCAAAAGGCAAAGUGCUGACUAACUUCACCCACAGUGAAUUAAUCCGUUUCUCUUCCCUUGUAGACAUUUAAUUAAGACCUGAAUUUCCCAUGCGGACUCACAAGUUCCAAGCUCACACAAACUGCUGAAUAAAAAUAUUAAUGGGUUGCACUGAGUACACAAUAUCUCUACUGUGAAGAAAAAGGAAAAAAAAAGAAUUAAAAAUGUAGAAGCUCCUGGGUAUUUACUGUUCACACAAAAACCUGCACACAAAUGUUCAUAGCAGCUUUAUCCGUAAUAGCACAAAGCUGAAACAAUCUGAAUAUCCUUUAAGCAGCCAGUGGAUAAACAAACUGGUAUAUAAAUACAAUGAAAUACUACUCAGCAAUAAGAAGGAAUGAACAAUUGAUACAAGCAACAAAUUGAAAGGAUCUCAAGGGUAUUAUGCUGAAUGAAAAAAACCCAAUUUCAAAGGGUGGCAUAGUGUAUGAUUCCAUUUGUAUCAUAUUCUCGAAGUGGCAAAGUUAUAGUGAUAGAGCACAGGCCAGCCACCGCUGGUUCGAGUUUGGGGGAGGGUGCAGUUAUUUAGGGGGUAACACAAGAGAGUGUCUUUCUGGGGAUGGAACCAUUCUGUAUCCUGAUUGUGGCAAUGGAUAUGCAAAUCUUUACAUUUGAUAAAAUUUCUUAGAACUUAGAAGUACUGAUUAAACCCCAAUCAGGUCUGUAACUAAUUAAAUAAUGUAGCACUAUCAAUCCCUGGUUUCAACAAUAUACCACAAGAUAUCAUCACUGGGGAAAAACUGGGUGUAGGAUACAAAGGAACUCUGUUCUAUUUUUUGUAACUUCUUAAAUUAUUUCAGAAUAAAAAGAUGUAAUUCAAAA